rnacentral:rRNA from 1 species
UACAGAGGGUGCGAGCGUUAAUCGGAAUUACUGGGCGUAAAGCGUGCGUAGACGGUAGCGUAAGUCAGAUGUGAAAGCCCCGGGCUCAACCUGGGAAUUGCAUAUGAGACUGCUCUGCUCGGGUGCGGAAGAGGGAAGCGGAAUUUCCGGUGUAGCGGUGAAAUGCGUAGAUAUCGGAAGGAACACCAGUGGCGAAAGCGGCUUCCUGGUCCGACACCGACGUUCAGGCACGAAAGCGUGGGGAGCAAACAGG